rnacentral:rRNA from 1 species
AAAACGACUCUCGGCAACGGAUAUCUCGGCUCUCGCAUCGAUGAAGAACGUAGCGAAAUGCGAUACUUGGUGUGAAUUGCAGAAUCCGUGAACCAUCGAGUCUUUGAACGCAAGUUGCGCCCCAAGCCAUUUGGCCGAGGGCACGUCUGCCUGGGCGUCAAUC